GACGAACGCUGGCGGCGUGCUUAACACAUGCAAGUCGAACGGAAAGGCCUGCUUUCCCUUGUGGAUUGCGGGUACUCGAGUGGCGAACGGGUGAGUAACACGUGAGUGAUCUGCCCCCAACUUGGGUAUAAGCCUGGGAAACUGGGUCUAAUUCCCGAUAGGACUGCAGGGUGGUGCCUGUGGUGGAAAACGAUUUUCUAGUGGUUGGGGAUGAGCUCGCGGCCUAUCAGCUUGUUGGUGGGGUAAUGGCCUACCAAGGCGGCGACGGGUAGCCGGCCUGGGAGGGUGGACGGCCACAUUGGGACUGAGAUACGGCCCAGACUCCUACGGGAGGCAGCAGGGGGGAAUAUUGCACAAUGGGCGGAAGCCUGAUGCAGCGACGCCGCGUGGGGGAUGACGGCCUUCGGGUUGUAAACUCCUUUCGACCGCGAGGAAGCCACCUGGUUGGAAGGGUGGUGACGGUAGUGGUAGAAGAAGCACCGGCUAACUACGUG
rnacentral:rRNA from 1 species